AAAGCAUCACAAAUCACCAAUUUUUAUACACAUAAUCACAUAGAUAUACAAAUUUAAUUAGUAUUGCACAAUGGUAGAUCCACAUCACAUAAACCAUCAACAAGCACCACAACAAAAUCAUUCACAAAACCUACACAUGUUAUUAUGUUUUGCACAUAUUUGCAAACACUUUACAAAAUCAUUCACAAAAGUACUAACGCUUGGUGAGCAUCUCUCAUCCUGGCACUUGUUCGAUUCACCCACUUUAGCUUCGUCCAUCAGCAUUAUCUUGAGAUCAAUCCAAACCUUGUCUUCAACAUCACGUGAUCAAUUAACGUACCUAAAUGACAUUCAUAAUGCAUAUGAGUGAGUAGGAGCAUAAAUAGCACAAGAUAGAUAAGUUAUACUAAGGAGGAUACAAACUUAAAGCAAAACAUCACAACUCUUAGGUGUAACAACUAGAUAUAUUAAAUUCUACAUCAAACAUGACGUUCUAGUCAAUCGGACCCAAAUCAAUCAUCAAGUAACAUUAGCAACAUACAAGUCCUAAUAUAUUUAGAAUAUAACGCUGAUGUACCGCAAUACUUAAAAACAAUUACUAUAUGUUGACAUAUCACUACGUAUCACAAUUAUGUUUCUCUGGCUUAACCAAAUCUAACACAAACAUCAAAGAAUAUUGAACCCUACACAAGCUAUGUAUUUUCCUUAACUGGAACAUAGAAUAUUGAACCCUACACAAGCUAUGUAUUUUCUUAAAAUGCUAAAGUCUAAGGCAAGCAUUAAGAGAGAAAAGAACAACCAAUGCAACUAUCAUACUUCAUUAAUCAAGCCAAGGACUAACCAAAUCUAGUUACCUACACAAAAGAAAUUCCAAGCAAACCAUUUUAAUGCCUGCUGAUUUUGGACAGCAGCACAGCACAUAUGGUCAUACAGGCACACACAUAUCCACAUAUGGUCAUACAAGCACACACAUAUCCACAUAUGGUAACAUAAACAUCAAAGAUUCUGAAAUUGGACUUGGAAAAAUCAUAACUCCUAAACUACUGAACCUAUGGUCAUACAAGCACACACAUAUCCACAUAUCAUCGCAUUAGCAUAACACCAACAAAAAUCAUUUCAUCAUACAUCGAACACAACUACAACAAUAAUUAUCUAACCAAACCAUUCAUUAAAUAAAUAGCCGUAGAAACGGCUUGGCUCACCACCUCAUGAUCUGACUUGAUUUUUAGCAAGAACGACG
rnacentral:lncRNA from 1 species